AUGGCUCGGCUCUACCACCUGACCCUCCUCUCCGUCUUCUUCCUCCUGACCCUCACCGGCCUCGAGGCUGCCGAUCCCUCCAGAGAGAAGAAGGUGACCAUGACCGUCCAGUUCCCGCCUGCCGACUCGCCGCCGGGGGAGAAGAUCACGAUCUCAACGCACUACAUCGACGAGGACGGGGUGGGCGACAGCCACGUCCAUCUCGACUGCGACGACCAUGAGCCCCAGCUUGGUUCCGCCGUAAAACACCUUGUCAGGAGCCUGGAGAAGAUACGAGAUGAGGAGGCGUCUCUAUCCGAGGCCUACGACAUGCCCAGUCAGUGGAUGCAGGUCCUCUUUCAUUUGGUCUCAGGGAAAAUCAGGCGCGAUUUACUUUAUUAUCGUAGUAUUAUGUCUGCAAGGAGCUCCUUCGCUCGUGCCAACAAUCACUCGGUGUUGGCAGCUCUAUCCACCUCGUACUACUAG
rnacentral:rRNA from 1 species